CGGGUGAGUAACGCGUGAGGAACCUGCCUCAAAGAGGGGGACAACAGUUGGAAACGACUGCUAAUACCGCAUAAGCCCACGGCUCGGCAUCGAGCAGAGGGAAAAGGAGUGAUCCACUUUGAGAUGGCCUCGCGUCCGAUUAGCUAGUUGGUGAGGUAACGGCCCACCAAGGCGACGAUCGGUAGCCGGACUGAGAGGUUGAACGGCCACAUUGGGACUGAGACACGGCCCAG
rnacentral:rRNA from 1 species